AAUGUAGAGCCUGAAUAAAGGAUUACUGUGAUAGAGUAAAACAUGUAAACAAAUUACCUACAUUA
rnacentral:tRNA from 1 species